rnacentral:rRNA from 1 species
UCCGGAGCACCAAGGCGACGAUGCGUAGGGGUUCUGAGAGGAAGGUCCCCCACAUUGGUACUGAGACACGGACCAAACUCCUACGGGAGGCAGCAGUGAGGAAUAUUGGUCAAUGGCCGAGAGGCUGAACCAGCCAAGUCGCGUGAAGGAAGAAGGAUCUAUGGUUUGUAAACUUCUUUUAUAGGGGAAUAAAGUGGAGGACGUGUCCUUUUUUGUAUGUACCCUAUGAAUAAGCAUCGGCUAACUCCGUGCCAGCAGCCGCGGUAAUACGGAGGAUGCGAGCGUUAUCCGGAUUUAUUGGGUUUAAAGGGUGCGUAGGUGGUGAUUUAAGUCAGCGGUGAAAGUUUGUGGCUCAACCAUAAAAUUGCCGUUGAAACUGGGUUACUUGAGUGUGUUUGAGGUAGGCGGAAUGCGUGGUGUAGCGGUGAAAUGCAUAGAUAUCACGCAGAACUCCGAUUGCGAAGGCAGCUUACUAAACCAUAACUGACACUGAAGCACGAAAGCGU